rnacentral:rRNA from 1 species
GAUGAACGCUGGCGGCGUGCCUAAUACAUGCAAGUCGAGCGAACAGACGAGGAGCUUGCUCCUCUGACGUUAGCGGCGGACGGGUGAGUAACACGUGGAUAACCUACCUAUAAGACUGGGAUAACUUCGGGAAACCGGAGCUAAUACCGGAUAAUAUAUUGAACCGCAUGGUUCAAUAGUGAAAGACGGUUUUGCUGUCACUUAUGGAUGGAUCCGCGCCGCAUUAGCUAGUUGGUAAGGUAACGGCUUACCAAGGCAACGAUGCGUAGCCGACCUGAGAGGGUGAUCGGCCACACUGGAACUGAGACACGGUCCAGACUCCUACGGGAGGCAGCAGUAGGGAAUCUUCCGCAAUGGGCGAAAGCUUGACGGAGCAACGCCGCGUGAGUGAUGAAGGUCUUCGGAUCGUAAAACUCUGUUAUUAGGGAAGAACAAAUGUGUAAGUAACUAUGCACGUCUUGACGGUACCUAAUCAGAAAGCCACGGCUAACUACGUG